UAGGAUAUACCUACUGCCAACAUUUUCAUGUACACUGUUCCUAUAGGACGCAUUUGAUUUUGUUUGGAUGGUCCGGAAAGCUGUUUGAAACUUUUAAAUAGUAUGUUGAAGAGUGCGGCAGUAGACUACCAUCAUGUAGCAAGCUCUGACAAGGGCUCUAAUGACCCGAGUAUUUGACGUUAUAGUCAGGGGUCAUGUUAUGGUGAAGUUGCUUGAGACUAUUAUAGCCAUUGCCUUGGUUACAUGUGCAGUGUUUGAAGACGUGCUUGUGUGUGUACAGUUAUUAUUGUUUGACCAUAAUUCGUAGUAAGUACUGUUCACGUGUUUUCCCCCUACUAGACCUGAGGAUUUGUACCAACCAGGUGAGGUGGACUUUGACCCCAACGAGGAGAGCUUACUAGCGGAGCUCCACCUAGCAACCAGCGGUAGCAAAGCACCCGGAGUGGAUCAGACAAUGAGAAACUAAUGCUGGAGAAGUGAGUGAUAGCAUGUCAGACAACUACACACAUAUUGGAGGUUUCUUUCUGAGAGCUUUGUUGACUUGUGUAGUCAUCUGGUGUUGCAAACCUCCGAUUUUAUCGUAUUUAAUAGCAUCUUUAAUAGUGCUGCAAUAAUUAUAGUGUGCUUAGAUCAAUAAUAGUAUUUAUUUCAGGCCCAAAUUGCAAAUUGUACUUGAAAAUAACCAGCUAAGCUAUAACCUUCAUAGUAUGUGUUUGGACCUGUGCCACCACCUACUGUUUCAUUAUAAUAUUAGUGCAAUAAAGUACGUGUCUAUGAUGUUAUGCUAAAACUCCCUUCUCACCUCUAGUCUAGUUUUUUUUAUUGCUCCCGUUACUUGCUGCUUAGCCAGAUCAUAUAUACUAUUGUAUAACACUCCUCUGGUUUCUAUAGUUAUUUAUGUCAACAGCCGAGGGUAGCACUUCAGUGCUCUAGUUCUAAUUGUAGAUAGACUGAUCGAUUUGUCUUCUGUACUAUUGUUUGAUUUUUCUACCCCUCAUCUUUUCUGGCCCCCAGUUAUGCGGCCAUUUUUCAGCCCGGCCAAGUGUUGAGGAGACAAGAAGAGGCACUGAGAAUGGAGGUAGAGGCCUACUGUGCUGCUAAGAAAUAGAGGGGCCUCACGUAAACUGGCCACUCAGUGUGACUAUGAUCAUGUGACUCUUUAACCCGUCAGUUCCCGAGCCCCACCCCUCACUAUCUGACUCGGAAGAGGAGAUAGACUUUGGAUUCUGGGAGAAGGCGUCCACCCUACCCUCGGACAAGACCCCAACCAAGGACCUGAACUUGUUAUGAGACUGUUACAUAUUAUUUUGUCUGUUUUUGUACUAUUUUCUGGCAAUGUAAUUAUGUAUGUACCACUUCAUGUCAUCAUAAUAACUAUAAUUA